rnacentral:rRNA from 1 species
GUGGGGAAUCUUGCGCAAUGGGCGAAAGCCUGACGCAGCCAUGCCGCGUGAAUGAUGAAGGCCUUAGGAUUGUAAAAUUCUUUCACCGGGGACGAUAAUGACGGUACCCCGCGAAUAAGCCCCGGCUAACUACGUGCCAGCAGCCGCGGUAAUACGUAGGGGGCGAGCGUUGCUCGGAUUGACUGGGCGUAAAGCGCGCGUAGGCGGUCCAUUAAGUGUGCGGUGAAAUUCGGAGGCUCAACCUCCGUCCCGCCGCGCAAACUGAUGGUCUUGAGAUUGGGAGGGGGAUGCGGAAUUCCUGGUGUAGCGGUGAAAUGCAUUGAUAUCAGGAGGAACACCGGCGGCGAAAGCGGCAUCCUGGCUUAUAUCUGACGCUGAGGCGCGAAAGCGUGGGUAGCAAACGGGAUUAGAAACCCCGGUAGUCC